rnacentral:rRNA from 1 species
UACGUAGGGGGCAAGCGUUGUCCGGAUUCAUUGGGCGUAAAGAGCGUGUAGGCGGUCCGGUAAGUCCGCUGUGAAAGUCGGGGGCUCAACCCUCGAAUGCCGGUGGAUACUGUCGGGCUAGAGUGCGGAAGAGGCGAGUGGAAUUCCUGGUGUAGCGGUGAAAUGCGCAGAUAUCAGGAGGAACACCUAUUGCGAAGGCAGCUCGCUGGGACGUAACUGACGCUGAGACGCGAAAGCGUGGGGAGCAAACAGG